CACCUCUGUAGGGGAACGCAGCUGCCAUGGCAGCGUCUACUGGAAGGAAGAACAGUAAUCCACAAAGUAUAUGAGAUCGUAACAUGGGAUGCCAAGGCCACUCUUUCCUGUUGAUGCCCAGAAAUCAUGAGUGUCUCAACUAAUGUCACAGUGUGUGCAGGGGAAAUGGAGUAGGCUCCUCCGGUGUUUACCCUGGGAAUGUCGAGGACAGGAUGCUGAAGCCUAGAGGAAGCCCUGACGGCAGACUCUCAGCGCUCACAGCAGCUCAGAGUCAGGGAACGUAUCAUUGCAC